rnacentral:rRNA from 1 species
CCUACGGGGCGCAGCAGUGAGGAAUAUUGGUCAAUGGGCGGGAGCCUGAACCAGCCAAGUCGCGUGAAGGAAGAAGGUACUUAGUAUUGUAAACUUCUUUUGUCGGGGAACAAAGGCGGAGACGCGUCUCCGGAUGAGUGUACCCGAAGAAAAAGCAUCGGCUAACUCCGUGCCAGCAGCCGCGGUAAUACGUAGGUGGCGAGCGUUAUCCGGAAUGAUUGGGCGUAAAGGGUGCGUAGGCGGCCUGCUAAGUCUGGAGUGAAAGGUACCGGCUCAACCGGUACAGGCUCUGGAAACUGGCGGGC